rnacentral:rRNA from 1 species
GACGAACGCUGGCGGCGUGCUUAACACAUGCAAGUCGAACGGAAAGGCCCUGCUUUCGUGGGGUGCUCGAGUGGCGAACGGGUGAGUAACACGUGAGUAACCUGCCCUUGAUUUUGGGAUAACUUCAGGAAACUGGGGCUAAUACCGUAUAGGAGCUCCUGCUGCAUGGAGGGGGUUGGAAAGUUUCGGCGGUUGGGGAUGGACUCGCGGCUUAUCGGCUUGUUGGUGGGGUAGUGGCUGACCAAGGCUUUGACGGGUAGCCGGCCUGAGAGGGUGACCGGCCACAUUGGGACUGAGGUACGGCCCAGACUCCUACGGGAGGCAGCAGUCGCGAAUAUUGCACAAUGGGCGGAAGCCUGAUGCAGCAACGCCGCGUGCGGGAUGACGGCCUUCGGGUUGUGAACCGCUUUCGCCUGUGACGAAGCGUGAGUGACGGUAAUGGGUAAAGAAGCACCGGCUAACUACGUG